GACGAACGCUGGCGGCGUGCUUAACACAUGCAAGUCGAACGGAAAGGCCCUGCUUUUGUGGGGUGCUCGAGUGGCGAACGGGUGAGUAACACGUGAGUAACCUGCCCUUGACUUUGGGAUAACUUCAGGAAACUGGGGCUAAUACCGGAUAGGAGCUCUUGCUCCAUGUGGGGGGUUGGAAAGUUUCGGCGGUUGGGGAUGGACUCGCGGGUUACCAGCUUGUUGGUGGGGUAGUGGCUUACCAAGGCUUUGACGGGUAGCCGGCCUGAGAGGGUGACCGGCCACAUUGGGACUGAGAUACGGACCAGUCUCGUACGGGAGGCAGCAGGGGGGAAUAUUGCACAAUGGGCGGAAGCCUGAUGCAGCAACGCCGCGUGCGGGAUGACGGCCUUCGGGUUGUAAACCGCUUUCGCCUGUGACGAAGCGUGAGUGACGGUAAUGGGUAAAGAAGCACCGGCUAACUACGUG
rnacentral:rRNA from 1 species